ACUGCCCUGCUCUGUCUCUCCGUCCUUCUGGAGACCCUAUGGAUACCCAAUUUGACUUCAGAUUGCCCGCCCUGUAAUUAGGCAGAGGUGGGCGGAGCCAGGGGCAGCGCGCGCGUGCGCAUCACCCUACCGAGCGCGCCGGAAGGACGUGGUCUGGUCUGGGCCUGCGGACGGAAGUGCUUGGGUCCCCGGGGCGGUCGCCAUGGCUACCGAGCCGGUGACCGCUGAGCCUGAGAUACCGUCGCUGGUGGAUCGUUACUUCACUCGCUGGUACAAAGCCGAUGUCAAAGGAAAACCCUGUGAAGACCACUGUAUCCUACAGCACUCUAACCGAAUAUGUGUCAUCACAUUGGCUGCUUCUCAUCCAGUUCUUCAAAGUGGAAAAACAAUACAAAGUAUUUCCUAUCAGAUCAGUACCAACUGUAGCAGACUUCAGAACAAGGUUUCUGGGAAAUUCAAGCGGGGAGCACAGUUUUUAACAGAACUUGCACCUCUGUGUAAAAUUUACUGCUCAGAUGGAGAAGAAUAUACCAUAUCUAGCUGUAUUAGAGGACGUUUGAUGGAAGUAAAUGAAAACAUUCUCCAUAAGCCAUCUAUUCUUCAAGAAAAGCCUUCCACUGAAGGCUACAUUGCAGUUGUAUUGCCCAAAUUUGAAGAAAGUAAAAGCAUAACAGAAGGUUUAUUGACACAAAAACAGUAUGAUGAAAUUGUGGGAAAACGAAUGGAUGCCACAACAGCUACAUCUUGAGGACUGAAAUGGAGUAGAAGUGAUGGAAGAUUCAUAACCUUACCUGGCCAACCUUAUCAGUGCACUGAAGGAGAAGCAGUAACUGUUGGAAGGAAGAAGCAGAUGUACUUUCUUAAGCAAAUGUACUCUCCUUACUCCAGUGAAAUGGCCUUCCUCUGACUUAGAGAGACAAGAAAAGGCUUUGAAAAUUACAAAGGACUUUGCUAGCAAGUAGAACUGUUAGAAUGCACUAUUGAACAGGUUCUUGCAAAUACAUUGCAAUCACUAGUCUCAUAUCUUUUAGUUUCAGUUAUCUUUAGAUAUAUCUAAUAAAGACUUCACUGGGAACAUUUUAUUCAGAGGGGUGGAAUUGAACAAAGACAUUCACAUCAUUAAAUUUAGGAAAAACUGAAUUUUUGGCCUAACAUUAAAUACUCAGUUUACACUGAAUUUCAAAUAGGAGGACUUUACUCUUACGUUUUCUUAAGGGUUACAACCCACACAAAGAUUUAGUUAUCCCUGUUUUUAACUGAAAAUAGUUUGGUGCAAAAGAAAUCACUUGAUAUAUAAAUUUCUUUGGUUCUUUUUCCUCAUGUUGUUGAAGUCAUGUUAUCCCUUCCUACCCCCAUUUGCAUUUAUAAGACACUAUUCUUUUUGAGUGCUCUAUAUAGUUUUUUUUUUUUUUGUCGGUCGUGGGGCUCGAACUCUGGGCCUGGGCGUGGUCCCUCAGCUCUUCAACUCAAGGCGAGCGCUCUACCACUUGAGCUACAGCGCCACUGACACUAUUCUUUUUAGGUGUAUAAAAAGAGUGUUUUGUAAAUAAUUAUUUGUAGUUCCCGACAACUUUGUAAUUUUCAGGACAUGAUGUAGAAGAUAACUAUGGGUCUCUACAAUGAUAGUGCUAUACUAGAAAUAAAAUCACACAGCUGUAGCUUCUCACUAAGAGCAGCACAGGGUUUCUUAGAGACUUCAUACAAGCCAGGCACCAGUGGCUCACACUGGUGAGCCACUAGCUACUCAGAUGCUGAGAGUUAAACAAUCAGGAGUCAAAGUUAGUCUGUCAGUGAGACUCCCAUCCCCGAAACAAGGCCCUGACUUCAAGCCUUGAUACCAGCAAAAAUUUUUAAAAGGAGAAAAAAAAGACUUAAUACAGUGAUGAUACUAAAGCUAUUAAAACUACAUAUGUAUUUUAAAUAUACUUCCACUACCAUAGCGAUGAUUUAUAAGACUACUUCAGUUUCACAAAAUAAAAAUACAUUCUUAAUGACUUA